rnacentral:tRNA from 1 species
GCCCUAGUGGCUUAGCCUUAAAAGCACCGGUCUUGUAAUCCGGCGACCGGGGUUUAAAAUCCCCCCUAGUGCC